rnacentral:rRNA from 1 species
AUAAGAUGGUAAGGGCACACGGUGGAUGCCUUGGCACAGGAAGCCGAUGAAGGACGUGACAAGCUGCGAUAAGCUACGGUUAGGGGCACAUACCCGCUUGAUCCGUAGAUUUCCGAAUGGGUAAACCUAAUAAGAGUCAUUUCUUAUUACAGUGCGUUGAACACAUAGACGCAUCUGAGACAACCUGGGGAACUGAAACAUCUAAGUACCCAGAGGAAAAUAAAUCAAACGAGAUUCCGCUAGUAGUGGCGAGCGAACGCGGAUAAGGGCCAAACCACAGGUCGCGAAAGCUCUUGUGGGGUUGUAGGGUCACAAAUUGUACAGUAAGAAAAUUUCUUAGAAGCAAAACGGUCUGGGAAGGCCGGCAAGAUAGGGUAAAAGCCCCGUACGCGAAUCUAAGAAAUCUGUCUUGUGAUACCUGAGUACUGCCGGACACGUGAAACCCGGUGGGAAUCUGGGGGGACCACCCUCCAAGCCUAAAUACUCUCCUGUGACCGAUAGUGAACCAGUACCGUGAGGGAAAGGUGAAAAGCACCCCGGAAGGGGAGUGAAAUAGUACCUGAAACCGUGUGCUUACAAGCAGUUGGAGCAAGAUUUUUCUUGUGACAGCGUGCCUUUUGUAGAAUGAGCCAGCGAGUUACGGUGUGUGGCAAGGUUAAGCUAAAAAGCGAGCCGAAGCGACAGCGAGUCUUAAUUGGGCGUUUUAGUCGCACAUCGUAGACGCGAAGCCAAGUGAUCUAUCCAUGAGCAGGCUGAAGCGGGGGUAAGACCCCGUGGAGGGCCGAACCCACCUAGGUUGAAAACUGGGGGGAUGACUUGUGGAUAGGGGUGAAAGGCCAAUCAAACUUGGAGAUAUCUCGUUCUCCUCGAAAUAGCUUUAGGGCUAGCCUCGGAUGUUUACCUGCGGAGGUAGAGCACUGGAUGAUUGCGGGGGCUUCACCGCCUACCAACAUCAACCAAACUCCGAAUGCCGUAUGGUCUAGAAUCCGGGAGUCAGAACAUGUGGGCUAAGCCGUGUGUUCGAAAGGGAAACAGCCCAGACCGUCCGCUAAGGUCCCCAAAUUUAUGCUAAGUGGCAAAGGAUGUGCGUUUGCUCAGACAACCAGGAUGUUGGCUUAGAAGCAGCCAUUCAUUUAAAGAGUGCGUAAUAGCUCACUGGUCGAGUGAACAUGCGCCGACAAUAUACGGGGCUAAGCAUAGUACCGAAGCGACGGACUAGUUUUACUAGUGGUAGAGGAGCUUUCCGUCUGGAGUGAAGCUGUGGGGUAACCCAUGGUGGACCGGCCGGAAGUGAGAAUGCUGGCAUGAGUAACGAGAGAGAUGUGAAAAACAUCUCCGCCGUAAACCCAAGGUUUCCUGGGCAAGGCUAAUCCUCCCAGGGUCAGUCGGGAGCUAAGGCAAGGCCGGAAGGCGUAGUCGAUGCACAGCAGGUAGAUAUUCCUGCACCUCCGACGCAACAUUAUUACCAAUGGGGUGACGAAGAAGGGUAGCUCAGCGGGGUUCUGGAUGUCCCCGUGAGAUCACGUAGGCUACAAGGUAGUGAAAUGCGCCUUGUAUUAAAGCUGAGGUGAAGGACGAAACGAUUGAGCGAAGUGAGUGAGCCCAUACUUCCGAGAAAAACCUCUAGGGAGUUGCUAGGAGCCCGUACCGCAAACCGACACAGGUGGGUGGGUAGAACAUACCAAGGCGAUCGGGAGAACUAUGGUUAAGGAACUCGGCAAAAUAACCCCGUAACUUCGGGAUAAGGGGUGCCAUCUUAGGUGAUAAGAUUUACUCUUUGAGCUUUUGGUGGUCACAGUAAAGAGGUCCAAACGACUGUUUAUCAAAAACACAGGACUCUGCUGAAGUCGUAAGACGACGUAUAGGGUCUGACGCCUGCCCGGUGCCGGAAGGUCACGAGGAGUUGUUAGCAUUUGCGAAGCAGCGAAUCUAAGCCCCGGUAAACGGCGGCCGUAACUAUAACGGUCCUAAGGUAGCGAAAUUCCUUGUCGGGUAAGUUCCGACCUGCACGAAAGGCGUAACGAUUUGGACACUGUCUCAACCAUAGACCCGGUGAAAUUGCACUAGUCGUGAAGAUGCGACUUACCCGCGGAAGGACGGAAAGACCCCGUGAACCUUUACUGCAGCUUGACAUUGGCUGCCGGUUCGUCGUGUAGAGGAUAGGUGGGAGACUGUGAACUGGAGACGCCAGUCUUCAGGGAGUCACCCUUGGAAUACCACCCUCGACGUUUCGGCAUCCUAACCCUUCGCCGUAAUCCGGGAAGGGGACCGUGUCAGGUGGGUAGU